AGACGGUCAGCAGUUCGAGAGAUUCGAGGAUCAAGCUUUCGAGGAGUACGAGCAAGAAAAGCAAGGUUAAGAAGGAGGGUCGUGUCCUUGAUCACUUCUUUAAGUCCUAUUCACCUUUACUUUCAUGUUCAAUACAACAUCGCUAUGCACUUAAUAGUUUAAACUUGAUGGGUCCCAAUUAAGGAUGUCCUAGAUUUCAUUACCUUUGCCUUGACCAACCGGGUUUACUUUUAUGUUGGGUAGCUCAUGCUUGUUGCUUAUUUGGGUUAUGGUGGUUCAAUUGAAAUCAAUGAUUAAAUUUGCUUUAGUUCUGCUAUACCUUCC
rnacentral:lncRNA from 1 species